rnacentral:rRNA from 1 species
UUGAACGCUGGCGGCAUGCUUUACACAUGCAAGUCGAACGGUAACAGGCCUUCGGGUGCUGACGAGUGGCGAACGGGUGAGUAAUGCAUCGGAGCGUGCCCAGAGGUGGGGGAUAACGCAGCGAAAGCUGUGCUAAUACCGCAUGUGAUCUGAGGAUGAAAGCGGGGGACCAAGCAGCAAUGUUUGGCCUCGCGCCUCUGGAGCGGCCGAUGUCAGAUUAGGUAGUUGGUGGGGUAAAGGCCUACCAAGCCGACGAUCUGUAGCUGGUCUGAGAGGACGACCAGCCACACUGGGACUGAGACACGGCCCAGACUCCUACGGGAGGCAGCAGUGGGGAAUUUUGGACAAUGGGCGCAAGCCUGAUCCAGCAAUGCCGCGUGCGGGAAGAAGGCCUUCGGGUUGUAAACCGCUUUUGUACGGAACGAAAAGGCUCUGGCUAAUACCUGGGGCUGAUGACGGUACCGUAAGAAUAAGCACCGGCUAACUACGUG